AACGAACGCUGGCGGCAGGCCUAACACAUGCAAGUCGAACGCCGUAGCAAUACGGAGUGGCAGACGGGUGAGUAACACGUGGGAACGUACCUUUCGGUUCGGAAUAACUCAGGGAAACUUGAGCUAAUACCGGAUACGUGCGAGAGCAGAAAGAUUUAUCGCCGAAAGAUCGGCCCGCGUCCGAUUAGCUUGUUGGUGAGGUAAUGGCUCACCAAGGCGACGAUCGGUAGCUGGUCUGAGAGGAUGAUCAGCCACACUGGGACUGAGACACGGCCCAGACUCCUACGGGAGGCAGCAGUGGGGAAUAUUGGACAAUGGGCGCAAGCCUGAUCCAGCCAUGCCGCGUGAGUGAUGAAGGCCCUAGGGUUGUAAAGCUCUUUCGCCAGGGACGAUAAUGACGGUACCUGGAUAAGAAGCCCCGGCUAACUUCGUG
rnacentral:rRNA from 1 species